AGCGCACCCUUCGGGGUGAGCGGCAGACGGGUGAGUAACGCGUGGGAACGUGCCCUUUGGUUCGGAAUAGCCCUUGGAAACGAGGAGUAAUGCCGAAUGUGCCCUUCGGGGGAAAGAUUUAUCGCCAAAGGAUCGGCCCGCGNUNNNAUUANNUUGUUGGUGAGGUAACGGCUCACCAAGGCGACGAUCUAUAGCUGGUCUGAGAGGAUGAUCAGCCACACUGGGACUGAGACACGGCCCAGACUCCUACGGGAGGCAGCAGUGGGGAAUCUUGGACAAUGGGCGAAAGCCUGAUCCAGCCAUUCCGCGUGGAUGAUGAAGGCCCUAGGGUUGUAAAAUCCUUUCGGCAGGGAAGAUAAUGACGGUACCUGCUAAAGAAGCCCCGGCUAACUCCGUGCCAGCAGCCGCGGUAAUACGGAGGGGGCUAGCGUUGUUCGGAAUUACUGGGCGUAAAGCGCACGUAGGCGGAUCAGUCAGUCAGAGGUGAAAUCCCGGANCUCAACUUCGGAACUGCCUUUGAUACUGCUGAUCUAGAGUCCGGGAGAGGUGCAUGGAAUUCCGAGUGNAGAGGUGAAAUUCGUAGAUNUUCGGAGGAACACCAGAGGCGAAGGCGAUGCACUGGACCGGUACUGACGCUGAGGUGCGAAAGCGUGGGGGAGCAAACAGGAUUAGAUACCCUGGUAGUCCACGCCGUAAACGAUGAGAGC
rnacentral:rRNA from 1 species